GUACAUGUACUCACUGUACUGGUAGAGAAUGUUAUGAGAUAGUGAUGAGGUUAAUUGUAUUGUAGUGAUGGCUUCUGUUACUAAAUUGUGUCUAUCUUUUCCUUUUCUUCUCGUCUUCCUUCACUAUACACUACCCUCCCUCCUCCUCUAUCUUUAUCUUUAUUUCUUUUUGUGUAGUUGAGGAAUCCUUUCAUAAACAGGUUGAAGAGUUGAAGUCAUUUUAUAAGAAGGAGGUUCAUGAGUUACAGUCAAGACAUGAUAAGGAGCUAAUGGAGAUGCAUUCAAGUUACCAGUCAUCAAUUGAAAAGUUAAGACAAGAGAUUUCUCACGAAAGGAAUUAAUAGAGAAAUGCUAGUCAUUAGGUUAUGUAUAUUGUUUUAUUGUCUUUUUAUAAAUUACUCUCUCUUUGAUAUAAAACUGCACAUUAUUAUUAU